ACGGAGGAUGCGAGCGUUAUCCGGAUUUAUUGGGUUUAAAGGGUGCGUAGGUGGUUAAUUAAGUCAGCGGUGAAAGUUUGUGGCUCAACCAUAAAAUUGCCGUUGAAACUGGUUGACUUGAGUAUAUUUGAGGUAGGCGGAAUGCGUGGUGUAGCGGUGAAAUGCAUAGAUAUCACGCAGAACUCCGAUUGCGAAGGCAGCUUACUAAACUAUAACUGACACUGAAGCACGAAAGCGUGGGGAUCAAACAG
rnacentral:rRNA from 1 species